UCUCCUUAUGAUUUAUUGUGCCUUAAUUUACUAUUAAUUUCAUUCAUAAUUAUUCACUUACUGAACGCUAUUAUAAAAGUAUAUACGUUUGUUUAUGUUAAAUAAAAGAUAAAACAUGAGAAAAGAGUCGUAUCUUCCCUUAAAAUGCAUCUUGAACAAUCGGGUCCCACCUAGCGAGGACCCCUAAGAUGGCGGCCAUCGCGAUGCCUGUGCGCAAGUCGCAACGGAGGCACUUGUCACGAAGGACACAAGACAGAAGCUCUGUCCCGAGACGCUCUUGAGUUACGUUGAGACUGAUGAUUCCCCAAUCUUCCACAAUGGACUUCACAUAGGAUGAACUGUUUCCAGUUUCAGCAAAACAGCAAGAAUUUAUGAAUGGAUGACUGCACCUUAGCACUCUUCACUCCCACUGCAUGCCUCACCUGGGCCACAGAGAAAACAAUGUUGCUGCAUGUACAUGGCACAAUUAACCUCUAACCUUACAGCUGAAUCAAUGCAGUAACACUGUUAACUACCAAUGAUAUUGUACCAAAUGUUCAGACUGAAUAUACAGAGGAGAACUGGUCCCCAGUGUUUUUGGUUAGUCUGGUUUCUCCAAAGGUUUUUUUUUACUCCAGUAUCGACCUCUUACAGUUUUUUCUUAAUUAACCACCGUUGCCUUUGGCUUGCUUGCUGCAUGUAUGACGACUAAUGCAUUUAACACCAACUAUUAAAACAGUGAGGGUGUUUUUGACCACAUAGACACAACAGUAUGUCUUUCUGUAAAGAUUCUUUAAAAAUUUUAUGCAUUUUGAAAAAUGUAUAAAUGUCUUACAUUGAUAGUGUGCAUAUUGCUUGAACAUUUAUAUGUAAAAAAAUUGUGUAGAAUUAUAUUAUAAUUGCAAGUUAUAAUUAUCAAUUAUAAACUAGCUGCAUUUUUAGUUACUUUCAGUGCACAAACAGCCAUUAUUGCCUUACUAUUACUGAUUUGUAAUAGUACAAGUAACUGUUGUACUAUUUUAUGUACUGUGUUAUAUGAGUUAAAGUCAAUUACAAUUGUAAUUUCGUCAUCAUAAUGUGAUAAUUGCUGUAUGAUUUUCUUUGAAAACAAUAGUUUCUUAAAUAAUAUACAAUCAGCAAUUGCAAUACAUGAACUGCUUGUAAGCAAAACCAUAUAUAACAACAUAAGUAUACUUAUUACAAUAUUGAAAAUAAUGUAAAAAAUUACAUGAAUUAGGUAGUAAGUCAAAAUAAAUAAAAAUCAAAGUGUG